GGGGGUGUAGGUUAUAAUGAUUGGAAAUCAUGCGAAACAUAUGAUCCCAAAACAAAUAAAUGGACAGUAAUUGCACCAAUGCUUUCAACUAGAUAUCAAUUUAAAUUGAUUGCAUUCAAUGAUAAAUUAUAUGCAUUGGGUGGCUAUACAAAUGUUAUUGACGGUGUAAUAGAUACGGUUGAAACAUAUGAUUAUAAAUUAAAUCAAUGGUCGU